rnacentral:rRNA from 1 species
AGAGUUUGAUCCUGGCUCAGGAUGAACGCUAGCUACAGGCUUAACACAUGCAAGUCGAGGGGAAACGACAUCGAAAGCUUGCUUUUGACGGGCGUCGACCGGCGCACGGGUGAGUAACGCGUAUCCAACCUGCCCACCACUUGGGGAUAACCUUGCGAAAGUAAGACUAAUACCCAAUGACGUCUCUAGAAGACAUCUGAAAGAGAUUAAAGAUUUAUCGGUGAUGGAUGGGGAUGCGUCUGAUUAGCUUGUGGCGGGUAACGCCACAAGGCGACGAUCAGUAGGGGUUCUGAGAGGAAGGUCCCCCANAUUGGAACUGAGACACGGUCCAAACUCCUACGGGAGCA